CAGCAUGUUGAAAAAUAGGUGGGGGAGAACCAGACUGAGCAGAAAACGAAGUAGCAAAAGAUCGCCCAGCGCUGUCUGGAA